CUGAACACUCUUCUGAAUGAACCUGGCAAGCAAGUUUUCAAACCAAAGUCCUCCAACUUCACGAGCACUUCAAAUCAGAUUGAUGGCAGGAUGGACUACACCUUCCAGGAUGGAGAUGCCAUACAACCAGUCAACGUCCUUAACUAAGUGACUCUACUCUUCCUACCUAAUAAGAUUGAUGGCAGGAUGGACUACACCUUCCAGGAUGGAGAUGCCAUACAACCAGUCAGCUUCCUAAAUGAGCUUCAUCUUCCAACUACUACAACAGUGCUUCCAGGAACAACAACCGGUUUCUCUGUGACUCCUUCAAACCUCAUAUCUGGUUCAGCAGUGGUCACAAGCAAGCUGCUGUUCAACUCCUCAUCUCCAGUCCCCAGUGAAGCUCUGGUCCUCAGCGCUAUCAACACUCUCCGUAAUUCCAGAGAACCACAGCUGAAUGAAUCAGUGAAGGUGGUGAAUGUCACUUAUGAGAGUAAGUGUCAUUCUAUAAGGUUGUACAGCUUUUGAAUGGGAAUCAGACAAACAAUUAUGAAUGGAAAGCUUUGACCAACACAACUAAUUAAUUUUAUUUAUAUAUUUUUUAAGUAAAUAAAAUGAGACAGCCUAUGCUCUCCACUUUGGAUUUGAAAUCAGCAAUAUAACCAUGUCUGAGAAACUUGAACUCAGGAAUGGUACCCACCUGUUAAUACAAGACUCCGUAAACACAUUGCUGGCCAAGAUCCUCCUCAGUAACUCCUCAGCUCCUGUCAUUAAGUUCCAAGCAGCUGAUUUCACGGGUAAUUCCGCUGUGAUUCAGGCCAAAGUAGAGUAUGUUAUCUCACCAAGUGACAUCACGCAACCCAGCAUAUUUGUUCAGGAACUUCUCCAACUCGCCGAAGAGACCACUCUGACAACAACUUCACCACCAAUCUUGAGUAGGAAGGCAAUUAUUACGAUUCGUCUCGAGUUUAUCACACUGGGCCCAAGACCAAGUGAGAAUAGUGUUCUAGAGGUGGUUAAAUCUAUGCUGGCCGCAAAUCUCACAACUAAACUAACUGCCAGAACAGUAAGCGUGAGUGAUCCUGUGAUCUUGACAAAUGUCAACUAUUUAGGAAUUAAUGACACUGCCUACGCGCUCAUCUUUACAUUUGAAAUCAGCAAAGUAUUAUUGACAGAGUUAAAAAGGAAUGAAACCUAUCAAGAAAUCCAAAAGAAGAUAAAUGACUUGGUGAUCCAGAUCCUAAAGGACCCCUCAGUUAAUCUGCUCAUUCCAGCCCAUUUCAAGGAAAAUUCCACUGUGAUUGAGGCCAAUGUUACGUAUGUUUUCUCACAAUAUGCCAGCAACACGGGUGCCGGUUUCUUGGUCAAUACCCUUUUCACAGUUUUUACCACACCAGUUCCAACCACCAUGAGCACUACAAUCUCAAACAACAGUACAAACGCAGCAUGGGUUGUGGCUAUCAUUGUCCCCUGUGCUAUUAUCAUCGGGCUCGUACCUUGCUGGAUUCUCCUUUGUUGUUUGCUGUGUGGUUGCUGUGCAGCAAUCAGGAGACGAUGGCACAGAAGACGGUCAUACAAUGUACAGUACACAACUCGAAACAGCCUCUUCUAGAGAAUUCAGGGAUGACAAAAAAAGGACUGAACACCAAUGAAAACAUAAAAAUCAUGGAUUUUGGAUAUUCAGUGUGCAAUUCAAUGCUGCCUCUUAAGUAUAAAAGUACUAUGUUAAUGCUUAUUUUAUAAAUUAUUGCUAGACAAACAGGUUCUCUAUAAAAUGUUCAUAAAUGUGAUAUUUGAAUUCUUCCUAUAGCGUAUAAUAAAACUGUAUUGCUGUUAUUUAUUUGUAUUUAUUGUAAUAUUCUGUUUAUGUUUACAAUUAAUAAGCUUUUGCAAAGCAUUAGUCUGCUUGACACACAGUUUCAUUUAAAGGGACAAAGGUAGAACUUUGGAAUUACAGCUAUUAUUUAUUCACACUCUGUGCACUUUAUAAUGUUAAGCAAAGGUAAAGCAAGCUCAUGAUGUAAAGGAAAUGUAAAGCAAAUUUAGUCUUUGGCAUGAACAUGUUAAACUGCAAAAAAAAUAAAAAAUACUAGAUUAAUAAAGAAUACAGAACAAUACAGAAGUUUGUGUUUCUCUUUGUAAUGUAAAUAUAAAGGUUACUCAUUAUUGGCCUUAGUCUUGAACAUCAAAGCUGUUUAUAUGGUAAACAAUGUUACCCAGAAU
rnacentral:lncRNA from 1 species